rnacentral:lncRNA from 10 species
CCUCAGUCAGAUUUCACUUUAUUUGUAUCGAUGACAAUAUUAACUCUUCAGAUUUAUAAAAUGACAAAACUUGAUAAUUACCUGGAAACAAUUUAUUAUUAACUAGGUUAACCCUAAAUCCAUCAAGAAAAACCACCUAACAUAUUCAGUGUUAAAAAGAGACAUUACGACUAGCCUGGCCAAUAUGGCAAAACCCUGUCUCUACUAAAAAUACAAAUUUUAGCAGGGUAUAGUGGUACGUGCCUGUAAGUCCCAGCUACUCAGGAGGCUAAGGCACCAGAAUCGCUUGAAUCUGGGAGGCAGAGGUUCAAGCGAUUCCCCCGCCUCAGCCUCCCGAGUAGCUGGGAUCACAGGCAUGCAACACCACGCUCGGCUAGUUUUUUAUAUCUUUAGUAGAGAUGGGGGUUUCACCAUGUUGGCCAGGCUGGUCUUGAACUCCUGACCUCAUGAUCCGCUAGCCUCCGCCUCCCAAAGUGCUGGGAUUACAGGUGUGGGCCGCUACACCUGGCCCCAAUCUGGUACUUUCAAUGUUGCCUAUAAACAGAUUUCAGCUGAAGCUCAGAUGGUAAGGUUAAGAUGCCUGGGGACUGGGAUGGAUGGACGGGCAGGAGGGUUGGAAGAGAAGUAAUCCAAUUAGCAUUGAAAAUAAGAGCGCCAAUUUGGAAAAUCGAAUGUCUAUGAUCAUUUUCUUCCCUAAAACAGGGAAGAAAGUGAAUGUGGAAAAUCCGAUUUUCAGCAAUAUUCGCAGGACCUAAGGCAACAACCACAUGCCUGGGGCAACUAUACUUUCCAAAUCCUGAAUAUUAAAAAGGUUUUCACAUGGUAAUCAUCUUAAUAUUUUCUGUUUUUUAGAUGAAGUUUUGCUCUUGUUGCCCAGGCUGGAGUGCAAUGGUGCAAUCUUGGCUCACCUCAACCUCUGCCUCCCGGGUUCAAGCGAUUCUCCUGCCUCGGCCUCCCGAGUAGCUGGGAUUACAGGAAUGUGCCAUCACCCCUGGUUAAUUUUGUAUUUUUUUAGUAGAGAUGGGGUUUUUCCAUGUUGGUGAGGCUGGUCUCAAACUCCUGACCUCAGGUGAUCCGCCUGCCUUGCCCUCCCAAAGUGCUGGGAUUACAAGCAUGAGUCACCGUGCCAGGCUAAUUGUGUCCUUUUUAAAGGAACAAACAAUUUGACUGUUGUGCAAAUGAGGCUUACCUGGUCUGAAUAUGAAGCACCUGCCCUGGGCUGCUGUCUCAGGGCAGGAAAGUGGGGUGGUCAGAAAGGCAGCCAACACUGUUUCUGCUGCCACUGUCACUAAGCCUGGAGUGCCCGUUUUCAACUGCAGUGAUCUGGUCCCUAACAUUUAGCCUAAACAGUGAGCUGGUAAACAAAGCCCCUGCCAGCAGAGAAAAGGGGCUCUAGAGCUGUUGAAGGAUUGGCCAGGCCGGUUCUUUUCUUAUCUCUGUUGUUCUCGAGGAAAUUCCUCUAAGGUGAGCCAAGGUCAGUGGCUCAUUUUAACUUAGAGUAACUCUCUGGGGACUCUAACCAGACUUCCAACAGUGCUCUGGGCCCCUUAGUAAGUUCCCAGGGAAGCAGAUGAAACUAAUUAGGACAUGGCCCACCAAAGGCGACACAAGCAUUUUC